GGUGAACGCUGGCGGCGUGCCUAAUACAUGCAAGUCGAGCGAACAGACGAUGAGCUUGCUCCUCUGACGUUAGCGGCGGACGGGUGAGUAACACGUGGAUAACCUACCUAUAAGACUGGGAUAACUUCGGGAAACCGGAGCUAAUACCGGAUAAUAUAUUGAACCGCAUGGUUCAAUAGUGAAAGACGGUUUUGCUGUCACUUAUAGAUGGAUCCGCGCCGCAUUAGCUAGUUGGUAAGGUAACGGCUUACCAAGGCGACGAUGCGUAGCCGACCUGAGAGGGUGAUCGGCCACACUGGAACUGAGACACGGUCCAGACUCCUACGGGAGGCAGCAGUAGGGAAUCUUCCGCAAUGGGCGAAAGCCUGACGGAGCAACGCCGCGUGAGUGAUGAAGGUCUUCGGAUCGUAAAACUCUGUUAUUAGGGAAGAACAAAUGUGUAAGUAACUAUGCACGUCUUGACGGUACCUAAUCAGAAAGCCACGGCUAACUACGUG
rnacentral:rRNA from 1 species